GCACUGGGUGUUAUAGGGCUGAAUUUAGUGAAACCUUUAUUACACUAUAUGUUAACUAAUCUGCAGUUUUAUUUUUCUUUUAAAGAUAUAUUAAGAAAAGCAAUGCGAUUUAAGAUAGAUUUAGUUUUGUUCUCUUUUAAGGGAUCGGUCUUAUUACCUAUAGGAUGCUGUAGGUCUCCAAAGACAGUGACUCAGAGUAUUAGUUUUACUCUAAUUCACCAAGAGGAGGGUGUGACCGUGGAGUGUUCUGAACACCAACAGGUCGUGAAAUCACCAGGUUGUGUUUGUUGGAUAUUUAGGGUGCCCUUACUUCACUUCUCUAUUUCUGGCUUCUAAUUGCUAGGACACACACGGUUCCACAAAGCCAAAAUGGAAAGAGACAAUCUGCUUGAUGAAAGUGGCUUUAUCACUCUGAAUGUUCAAGUCCUCUCAGUAAAGCUCAGGCAUGACAACCAAGCCCAGAACGGAGUUUCCUAUUUUUUUCCUCUGAGAAUCUGGCUUGAAGACACUUGUAUCUGCAAAGUAGAGUUUGUCUGUUACCCAGCCAGCCCUCAUGAGGGACCCGUUGUGUGGCUCCUACUCACAGUCUGGUAGAAUGAAGUGUACCAGAGGAAGGACCACAUGGUCAAGUGGCCCUACCUUCUGUUUAAGAAAGACAAUAUAGUUCCGUGGAUUUUAGACAUUCCUUAUGUAAAUCCACUGCUCCUUUUCCUGUAGCGAAUAAAGAGUGUUAGCCAGAGGGAGAGACUAGGGUGAGGCAGACAAGAAGUGUUCUCCUUUGUGACGAUGGGAAAAGGGGGGGGGGUGAGAGCCCUGUGCCCCCCCCCCCCCCCGGUCAUUGGCUUGAGUCCCUGUCCACCAUUUAUUAAUUGUGCAACGUGGAACAAUGUUUUAUUUUGAUCACUUAACCUCCCCAGGUCUAAUUUUUCCACCUCUGUGACCUACAGAAAAUAUUACCUGUCUUGUGGGGUUCUUGUGAGAAUUAAAUUGGGUCAUGUGCAUAAAGUGCUCAGUUAAGUAACAGACGUGUGGUGGGUUCUCAACACAGGCCUGCUGUUCUCGUCAGUUUUCAGCAAGACACAUCACUGCGCAGAUUCCCAAUCGUCUCCCCUAAAAACGAGGCACUUCAGUACUUCCUGGUCUAAAACAAGGAUGAGAGAAUUUCCCAAACUCACCUGCUCACAGAAGAUUUUAAAAAUGAUAAGGCAUUUAAGGAACUUGACUUUCAGAAAGACUGCUUUUUGGACCUGAAGUUAACACUUUCCUCCUUGGUUAAUGCUGCCCUGUUCUGAACUUCUCUAUUCAAAGUUUGGCAUGAAGACAGCUACUGAGAGCUUGAAGGAGGAUCCAGCCUGCUUCUCACACCACUGAACUUCCCUCUUCAUCACCUUGGCUUUGCACUUCCCGGGAUGGAACUGCUUGUUAACUCUCUGAACUAGCCCAAAGCAGCCAGGCACCAGACAGAGACAUCUCUGAUAACUUGCUCAGCUUUUAACAGUGGAUUGAGUUCAAAUCUCUUUGUACAGGAGCCUAACUAGGACCAGGUGGAGACCACAGGGCGCCAGGCACUAUGAAGAACUGGUCCAAUUGUUGCAGGUGUUGGCGGUUGGAACGGGCUGCCUCAAGAGGUGGUGAGGUCCUGUUGCUGCGCUGACACCAAGGCCACUCCACAGGGGAGAAGAGGGUGCAGAUGAUGUUGGAUGUGCCUCCUUCUCAACCGGAAAGUUUCACACCCAAUAGGGAAGAGGGAGUCAGAGUGAGAGCUCUAGAACCCCAGAGAUGGUCAGAAAACCUUCCCUCAUUGAAUGCCCUCGGAGCCAUCAACUCUCUCCACUGCCCGGUUGAGAAUAACUUCAUCAGUGGAUAAUAUUCUGACAUACGUCAUCUGUGUAUUAUAAGGUUUAACUGGGCUGGUUUUCUCAGAACUUCAAGACUGAGUUCAACUGAAGCAGAUCAGUGAAUAUUUUUUUAAAUUAACCUGGCAUUCAUUAAUACUGGUUUAACAUCAGUGAAAAGCCAAGUAGAGGUUUUGAACGUAAGGAAGCUGGUUUCACCCGAGUAACCUCUUUGAUCCAGAAUUGUACUAAACACAUACACACUAUCUGUUCUAAUCUUCAACAUUCUGCAAGAAGAAGAAACUGAGGCUAAGAGAUUAAGAUGGCUUGCCUGGUUGUGAACCAAAUGCCUCACCUUGAAGGUGGCAGAACCACCAUUUGAACCCCCCCCCAUUCUAAACACCAUUGUUUUUCGUAUUAAUCUUAUUGCCUCUUUAUAGAAGGCUUCUAUUUGAAAACAGAGGUUUCCACAUUAGUCUAUAGGAUAAACAUCCUUCAACUGAUGAUUCCUAAUUAUCCACAGGAGGAGACUGUCAUAGUGCCCAAUGAGGGAGAAAAGAGCUAUUUGAAAAAUAAUGUGGAGAUUGCUCUGGAUGUUUUUGAUGGACACAAAGACAUGAAAAAUGGGAACCAAAAACAGAGGGGGAAUAAAGCCCAUUCUGAAGCUCUGAAGCCCCAUGACCCAGGUGUACAUCAUACAGUCAGCUGUCAAGAAAGACUCCAUUGCCCCACUCACAGGGGUUCUCCCACCAUGUGGCCACAGUCCCCUUGCAUAUGACGGAAUCCUCUGUGUUCUCUAAGGGUCUCCUUCCCCUCUGGUUCUUCUCAUGCUUCGUCUCUCCAGAGAGCCUGGCAGCCGGUUCUAGCCCUCAACGCCCUCAUGCUGGCCCCUGUGGCUUCAUUCCUGGAAACAUGAUUUUCUCCAUUUAUUCCCACCUGUUGUCUCUAGACUGUCAGUACCACGAGGGGAUGACGAGGACGCUCUACUAAAAUCACAUGAAUCAGAACCUCGUGCAGCCCGCACAAGAACCUGAAAAAACUUCAGGCUUAACACCACUUGCCAGCAUGGGGCAGUUCUCCACACCCUCUGAACGGCCUUACUUCCCUCAAAGUAACCUUAGCUCUUAACAUCUUGCAAAGUGAUUUAUGUGAGCCAAUUACUAACUGAAGUAUCCGGAAAACAGAAACUGAAAAAAACAAAAAAAAACAAAAAACGUGUUGUCUGAAGUUGAGAAAAAAGAUCCCAGAACUGCUGAGAUGACUUUACACACACACACACACACACACACACACACACACACUCAUUCCCUCUCUCCCCCUUCUCAUUAUCUCCCCCUCUCCCCUCCUCACUCCUCCCCUUCCU